CGCUUAGCGCCCGCGAAUGGUUCGGGGAGCGGGCACGUGAGUCGACGGCGCGGAGGACACGGGAUUCUAACGGCCCGUUUCGUCGGGUAUAUUCGUGUCGUCAUAACACGGAGAGGAGCAGUCUUCGGUGUCGCGUAUCAGGGCUCGGAAGGACGGCGGCUGCUGCGACUGCUGACUGAGGAGAACGCGAGCCCGCGAGUGGUCGUGUGGUCGACGGGCCCAUCGGAACCACCGGAGCGUGAAGUUCGCGCCUGACUUCAACCAGAAACGGAGCUCCCAUCUCGGCACGCAGAUGGAGCCGAGUAAGAGGAUGCAGCUGACACUAGCAGCGCUCGCGCUCCUAGCCCCAGCGGCCUGGGGUCUGGACGCCUGGGUCAAGUGUAACCCGUUUCCAAAAAGCUUCGAGGUGAAGCUGGGACGCCCCAACUCUAACGACUUUGUUGCAGCCUGGGGUUCGUUCCACAACGCCAUCAACGAAACCGGGUUCAGUUUUCUGGACAUCUAUACCAACAUGGAGCUGCCGGAUGAGCACCAGG
rnacentral:lncRNA from 1 species